CCUACGGGAGGCAGCAGUGGGGAAUAUUGCACAAUGGGGGGAACCCUGAUGCAGCAACGCCGCGUGGGUGAAGAAGUACUUCGGUAUGUAAAGCUCUGUCAGCAGGGAAGAAAAUGACGGUACCUGACUAAGAAGCCCCGGCUAACUACGUGCCAGCAGCCGCGGUAAUACGUAGGGGGCAAGCGUUAUCCGGAUUUACUGGGUGUAAAGGGAGCGUAGACGGCAAGGCAAGUCUGGAGUGAAAGCCCGGGGCUCAACCACGGGACUGCUUUGGAAACUGUGUUGCUGGAGUGCAGGAGGGGUAAGCGGAAUUCCUAGUGUAGCGGUGAAAUGCGUAGAUAUUAGGAGGAACACCGGUGGCGAAGGCGGCUUACUGGACUGUAACUGACGUUGAGGCUCGAAAGCGUGGGGAGCAAACAGGAUUAGAUACCCGAGUAGUC
rnacentral:rRNA from 1 species